rnacentral:pre_miRNA from 1 species
UCCCUGAGACCCUAACUUGCGAUGGCCCGGGUCUCCCAGGUUAGAUUCUCAGGUUUU